rnacentral:rRNA from 1 species
AUUGAACGCUGGCGGCAUGCUUUACACAUGCAAGUCGAACGGCAGCGCGGGCUUCGGCCUGGCGGCGAGUGGCGAACGGGUGAGUAAUGCAUCGGAACGUGCCCAGUAGUGGGGGAUAGCCCGGCGAAAGCCGGAUUAAUACCGCAUACGACCUGAGGGUGAAAGCGGGGGACCGAAAGGCCUCGCGCUAUUGGAGCGGCCGAUGUCGGAUUAGCUAGUUGGUGGGGUAAAGGCUUACCAAGGCGACGAUCCGUAGCUGGUCUGAGAGGACGACCAGCCACACUGGGACUGAGACACGGCCCAGACUCCUACGGGAGGCAGCAGUGGGGAAUUUUGGACAAUGGGGGCAACCCUGAUCCAGCCAUGCCGCGUGCGGGAAGAAGGCCUUCGGGUUGUAAACCGCUUUUGUUCGGUAAGAAAUCCUCUGGGCUAAUACCCCGGGGGGAUGACGGUACCGGAAGAAUAAGCACCGGCUAACUACGUG